UACGGAGGGUGCGAGCGUUGUCCGGAAUCAUUGGGCGUAAAGGGCGCGUAGGCGGCGUGACAAGUCACUUGUGAAAUCUCCGGGCUUAACUCGGAACGGUCAAGUGAUACUGUCGUGCUAGAGUACAGAAGGGGCAACUGGAAUUCUCGGUGUAGCGGUGAAAUGCGUAGAUAUCGAGAGGAACACCGGCGGCGAAGGCGGGUUGCUGGGCUGAUACUGACGCUGAGGCGCGAAAGCCAGGGGAGCGAACGGG
rnacentral:rRNA from 1 species